CCACUGCAGUGGCAAUGCUGGAUCCUUAACUUGCUUCACUGCAAGGGAACUCCCACGACCCUCUUGUUCUUGGGGGUCUGUGGGCCUGAGAAGGAGAGAACUUUCAACUGUAAACGGAAUAAUGAUUAUUCCAUGAGACUGAGCAAUGUUAACUUGAACGGAAGUGGUAUUUGCGAUUUGCAUAACCAGUGCCUGCUGAAUCAAGGGGGGGGUCCCCCAAAACGGAAUUACUCAAUGUCACUAAUGAUGACCUCACCACAUAACAUAAAGCUUUGUGUGGACAAAAAAUACUAGACGGUCAUGUGACUGAGCCCUGCUACCUGCUUGGGCCCUGAAAGCAUCUACAUUUGCAGCUGCAGCUCGUCCAGAGACCCCAAGGCCACCCUAGGUUCUGAGGUCAGGGACACAGCCAAGGCUGUGGCGGCAGAGUCCCAGGUGAUUCCACUUGGAUUUAUUCAGACCCGCUGUGAUAGCUGAGUUCUAAGAUAGCCUCGGAGAUUCCCGACCUCUCAUAUGCACACACCUUCCCCCAGUUAUUCAAUCAAUCCCUGUAGGGAGGUGAUUUUGUAAAUGUAAUUCAGUUCCCCGUCAGGUGACCUUAAAAUAAAACGAUUUUCGGUGGGGACCAGACCGAAUCGCAUGCCCUUUAAGAGGCAGACUUUUCUCCAGCCGGUCCCAGAAGUCAGACACACUCCAUCUGGCCCUGGAGAAAGCGAAGCAUCCCAUUUGGAUAGCAAGGGAGAAGCCAGGUGGCACGGAAUUGCAGACACCCUGGAAGGGCUGAGAGGUGUCCCCAGCUGGGGACUAGAAGAAAAACAGCAACUCAGCCCUAAGACUGCAAGGAAAGGAAUUCUGCUCACACCCGGAGAGCUUGGAAAAGGAGCCCCAAACUCAGGUGCAAACUGCCGCCAGGACCGACAGCUUGAUUCCAGCCAGGCAAGACCGCGGAGGGAAUCCAGACUCACUGGCCUGAGAAUUCUGACCUACAGAAGUUGUCAGGAUAACAAAUGUGUACUGUUUCAAGUUGCGGAGUCUCUGGUAACUUGUUACACAGCAAUAGAAAGCGAAUACAGCUCUCGGUGAAGGAUUCGAAAUUGCGGAAGAGUAACUGUGCCAUCAAGGACAUGUGUAUUUCUUUGCUUCCCAAACCAGGACCCAGGAACCCUUCCGUGCUCAAGUAUCAGUGUCCCUGAAACAUCUGAGGGGAGCUUUAGUGGGCGUCAACUCAAACUUUCUCCUUCCCCCGUUUCAAGUCAAGAAGGAACAGGAAAAUGUCUUUGUAGGUGGGGAGAAAAUUCAGAGCCAACUUUAAGCACCGCUUGCUGAAACCAUCUAUUUUUGGCCGCCAAGCAUCCAUUCCUCCUCCUCACAUAUCAGUCACAGAGAAGGAAGUAGCAUUGGUGUCUGCGAGUAAUGAGAUCCACUGACUGAAGAAGGAAUCCCCUCUCUUUUCUCAUCACCAUCACUGUUUGGUCACCACGCAAAGCUACUAGAGGUAGGCUGCACUUGCCAUUCCUAUUUUUUCAUCUCUCACGACUGUCCCUUUAAUGUUUUUAAAUUGUAAAAUAUCAUGUGCCCCCAGAAAACCCCAUGACAUACAAGCGAAGUUUAUUUACUGCCACUAACUCUUCAGUUGACUGUUCCUGGUUCUGCCUCCACCCCUUAAUGACUCUGUUCUGAUAAAGGUGCCAGUGACUUAACUGGGAGGAUUAUUAUGAGAGUGAUAUUUUCUCUUUCAAAGUUCCAUUCUGCCUGGUCUUUGUCUCCUAGUCCUCGCUCAUUCGUCAAAGCCUCUCUUUGUGUAAACUCUGCUAGGUUUAUAAGCAAUUGCGGGAACUGGAGGCGGCACAGAGCGUCAGAUGCUGCUGUCACUUGUUUCUUCCGGCUUUUACUCAUGGUGCCUUGCGAGCCCUUGUUCUUUGGAACUUUGGAAUCUGUGGACAUUUUUUUGAGGACUACGUUGAAAGUGUAUUCCUUCAGAGAGGAUUUGUGUUUAUUCCUACCAGUCUCCUGCAACCACCUUAAACUGUCAGCUGGAUGAUCUGGGGAUAGACAGUAAAUUCACACUGCAGACCUAUGUGAAGUCAGCUUGGGUGUACACAUUCUGCGGGAAGGUAUCUCUAUUCCUCCCAUCCAAUGCCAGGGUCAAGACGGGAGAGUUUUCUCGCUGCCUCUCCUGUGCUACAAGUUUGUUUCUAGUUCUCUUUCAACUGAACAUGUUACAUCUUUUGGGAUCCCAAAUUUAUGGGAGAUUUCUCCUUCCGCUCUUUUAUUAAACAAUUAU